AGUGAACGCUGGCGGCGUGCCUAAUACAUGCAAGUCGAACGGAGUGACCCCCGGGUGAGUAAUGUAUAGCUAAUCUGCCCUACACUAGAGGACAACAGUUGGAAACGACUGCUAAUACUCUAUAGUGUAGGAUGAGGCUAUAUUGUAUCAGCUAGUUGGUGAGGUAAUGGAGCACCAAGGCUAUGACGCAUAACUGGUCUGAGGGGAUGAUCAGUCAAACUGGAACUGAGACACGGUCCAGACUACUACGGGAGGCAGCAGUAGUGAAUAUUGCUCAAGGGGGGAAUCCCUGAAGCAGCAUCGCCGCGUGGAGGAUGACAAUUUUCGGAGCGUAAACUCCUUUUGUUAGGGAAGCGGUACCUAACGAAUAAGCACCGGCUAACUCCGUGCCAGCAGCCGCGGUAAUAC
rnacentral:rRNA from 1 species